ensembl:snoRNA small nucleolar RNA, C/D box 52
GGGAAUGAUGAUCUCUCAGACUAGAGUCUCUGAUGCUGGUCUUGAUGUCAAAAAUAAAAUUCUGACUC